AGUGAACGCUGGCGGUAGGCCUAACACAUGCAAGUCGAACGGCAGCACAGUAAGCGCUUGCUCUUACGGGUGGCGAGUGGCGGACGGGUGAGGAAUACAUCGGAAUCUACUUUUUCGUGGGGGAUAACGUAGGGAAACUUACGCUAAUACCGCAUACGACCUACGGGUGAAAGCAGGAGAUCUUCGGACCUUGCGCGACUGAAUGAGCCGAUGUCGGAUUAGCUAGUUGGCGGGGUAAAGGCCCACCAAGGCGACGAUCCGUAGCUGGUCUGAGAGGAUGAUCAGCCACACUGGAACUGAGACACGGUCCAGACUCCUACGGGAGGCAGCAGUGGGGAAUAUUGGGCAAUGGGCGCAAGCCUGAUCCAGCCAUACCGCGUGGGUGAAGAAGGCCUUCGGGUUGUAAAGCCCUUUUGUUGGGAAAGAAGAGCAGCAGGUGAAUACCCCGCUGUUCUGACGGUACCCAAAGAAUAAGCACCGGCUAACUUCGUG
rnacentral:rRNA from 1 species